GAGAACUUCAGACAGGCAAGCUGCAUGGCUAACCUAAGUGCUGUCUAUCCUGCACAAAGCAACUCUUUUUAAUUUGCUAGUCUAGAUAAAGCAAUGUAAAGACUUUGGAUGAGCAUUAAAAUAGAUGGAGAAUUGCUGAGGGCUUGAGUUAGUCAAGAGCACUGUGAGGGACAGCCUGAAAAUGAGGUUGAGUCAGAGGCUGAGGUUCAGGGGAAGGACAGCAGCUGCCUGCCAGCAGGAGGUAUAUGGCCUUUUCAAAAAUGUGCCAGUUUAUCCUGGGUAAAUGAAACCAGUGUAAUAACAUCUGUUUUAAUUCUCCUGUCUUGAUAAGCUGUAUUCAUUUAAAUGUUUAAGAGGCCUAUCCAUUAGCAGAUGCCACAAAUGAC
rnacentral:lncRNA from 1 species